UACGUAGGGUGCAAGCGUUGUCCGGAAUUAUUGGGCGUAAAGCGCUUGUAGGCGGCUUGUUAAGUUCCGUGUGAAAUCCCCAGGCUUAACCUGGGAAGUGCGCGGAAAACUGUCGAGCUUGAGUGCCGGAGAGGGUCGCGGAAUUCCCGGUGUAGAGGUGAAAUUCGUAGAUAUCGGGAGGAACACCAGUGGCGAAGGCGGCGACCUGGACGGACACUGACGCUGAGACGCGAAAGCGUGGGGAGCAAACAGG
rnacentral:rRNA from 1 species